AUGGCCGAUGCCAAGGUCCCCGACAAUCAGGCCGGUUAUGAAAAGGCACUGACCACCGCAAUGGCGGCGAUGAGCGGGCCGGAUUUCGUCUAUGAAUCGA
rfam:Ponticoccus sp. TMTAT08 contig000016, whole genome shotgun sequence.